rnacentral:lncRNA from 1 species
UAAUUGAUUUUUCUGACUAAAAUGAAUGUUCUAGCAGGCAGCUCUUCUUUUACAGAAGUAUACAUCACAAAGUAGAAACCCUCCAGAUGUGAAGGACAAGUUUUUCCCAAGUCUCAUGGAUAUACAACCUGCUGAUAAAGUACGUUUAUAGAGGAAAAUUCCACGAAGGCAACUACACCAGACCCUCCCUGUGCUAUUGGUUCUGCCAGAGAGGCAUUUGGCAUAAGGUGAGUCAGGCUUGGACCCCAUCUGCAGGUCAUUCACUGAUUCAUUCAUU